rnacentral:rRNA from 1 species
UACGUAGGUGACAAGCGUUGUCCGGAUUUACUGGGCGUAAAGAGCGCGCAGGCGGUCGAUCAAGUCGAGUGUGAAAGCCCCCGGCUCAACUGGGGAGGGUCAUUCGAUACUGAUCGACUCGAAGGCAGGAGAGGGUAGUGGAAUUCCCGGUGUAGUGGUGAAAUGCGCAGAUAUCAGGAGGAACACCAAUGGCGAAGGCAGCUCGCUGGAACGGUACUGACGCUGAGGCGCGAAAGCGUGGGGAGCAAACAGG